GACGGAGGAUGCAAGUGUUAUCCGGAAUCACUGGGCGUAAAGCGUCUGUAGGUGGUUCGAAAAGUCCACUGUUAAAAAUUGAGGCUUAACUUCAAAGAUGCCGUGGAAACUUUCAAACUAGAGUAUGGUAGGGGUAGAGGGAAUUUCCAGUGGAGCGGUGAAAAUGCGUAGAUAUUGGAAAAGACCACCGAUGGCGAAAGCACUCUACUGGGCCAUUACUGACAUGAGAGACGAAAAGCUAGGGGGGAGCAAAUGGG
rnacentral:rRNA from 1 species